rnacentral:rRNA from 1 species
CGUGUAGGCGGCUUGGUAAGUCGGAUGUGAAAGUCCCGGGCUCAACCCGGGAAGUGCAUUCGAAACUGCUAGGCUUGAGUAAGAGAGAGGAAAGUGGAAUUCCUGGUGUAAAGGUGAAAUUCGUAGAUAUCAGGAGGAACACCGGUGGCGAAGGCGACUUUCUGGCUCUAUACUGACGCUGAGACGCGAAAGCGUGGGUAGCAAACAGGAUUAGAUACCCUGGUAGUCC